rnacentral:rRNA from 1 species
UCAAGUAAUUAAGUGCAUGUGGUGGAUGCCUUGGCAGUCAGAGGCGAUGAAAGACGUGAUAGCCUGCGAAAAGCUCCGGGGAGGCGGCAAAUAUCCUUUGAUCCGGAGAUGUCUGAAUGGGGGAACCCACCUACUUUAAGGUAGGUAUUGCAACAUGAAUACAUAGUGUUGCAAGGCGAACGAGGGGAAGUGAAACAUCUCAGUACCCUUAGGAAAAGAAAUCAAUUGAGAUUCCCUCAGUAGCGGCGAGCGAACGGGGAUCAGCCCAUUAAGUUAUGUGUGUUUUAGUGGAACGCUCUGGGAAGUGCGAACGUAGAGGGUGAUAUUCCCGUACACGAAAGGGCACACAUAAUGAUGACGAGUAGGGCGAGGCACGUGAAACCUUGUCUGAAUAUGGGGGGGACCAUCCUCCAAGGCUAAAUACUCCUGACUGACCGAUAGUGAACCAGUACCGUGAGGGAAAGGCGAAAAGAACCCCUGUGAGGGGAGUGAAAUAGAUCCUGAAACCGCAUGCAUACAAGCAGUGGGAGCACCUUCGUGGUGUGACUGCGUACCUUUUGUAUAAUGGGUCAGCGACUUAUAUUCAGUAGCGAGGUUAACCGUAUAGGGGAGCCGUAGAGAAAUCGAGUCUUAAUAGGGCGUUUAGUUGCUGGGUAUAGACCCGAAACCAGGCGAUCUAUCCAUGAGCAGGUUGAAGGUUGGGUAACACUAACUGGAGGACCGAACCCACUGUCGUUGAAAAGCCUGGGGAUGACUUGUGGAUAGGGGUGAAAGGCUAAUCAAGCCUGGUGAUAGCUGGUUCUCCCCGAAAGCUAUUUAGGUAGCGCCUCGGACGAAUACCAUAGGGGGUAGAGCACUGUUUCGGCUAGGGGGUCAUCCCGACUUACCAAACCGAUGCAAACUCCGAAUACCUAUGAGUACUAUCCGGGAGACAGACUGCGGGUGCUAACGUCCGUAGUCAAGAGGAAAACAAUCCAGACCGCCAGCUAAGGCCCCAAAAUCAUAGUUAAGUGGGAAACGAUGUGGGAAGGCAUAGACAGCUAGGAGGUUGGCUUAGAAGCAGCCACCCUUUAAAGAAAGCGUAAUAGCUCACUAGUCGAGUCGGCCUGCGCGGAAGAUGUAACGGGGCUAAAACUAUGUGCCGAAGCUGCGGAUGUAUACUUUGUAUACGUGGUAGGGGAGCGUUCUGUAAGCCGAUGAAGGUGUGUUGAGAAGCAUGCUGGAGGUAUCAGAAGUGCGAAUGCUGACGUGAGUAACGACAAAACGGGUGAAAAACCCGUUCGCCGAAAGACCAAGGGUUCCAGUCCAACGUUAAUCGGGGCUGGGUGAGUCGACCCCUAAGGCGAGGCCGAAAGGCGUAGUCGAUGGGAAAAUGGUUAAUAUUCCAUUACUUCUGUGUAAUGCGAUGAGAGGACGGAGAAGGCUAAAUCAGCCUGGCGUUGGUUGUCCAGGUGAAAGGAUGUAGGCAUGUAUCUUAGGCAAAUCCGGGGUACUCUAUGCUGAGAUCUGAUAGCAAGCUGUACUUGUACAGCGAAGUGGUUGAUGCCAUGCUUCCAGGAAAAGUCUCUAAGCUUCAGUUACACAGGAAUCGUACCCGAAACCGACACAGGUGGUCAGGUCGAGUAGACCAAGGCGCUUGAGAGAACUCUGCUGAAGGAACUAGGCAAAAUGGUACCGUAACUUCGGGAGAAGGUACGCUGUUGUUGGUGAUGGAACUCGCUUCCUGAGCUGACGACAGCCGCAGAAACCAGGCCGCUGCAACUGUUUAUUAAAAACAUAGCACUCUGCAAACACGAAAGUGGACGUAUAGGGUGUGAUGCCUGCCCGGUGCUGGAAGGUUAAUUGAUGGGGUUAGCGUAAGCGAAGCUCUUGAUCGAAGCCCCAGUAAACGGCGGCCGUAACUAUAACGGUCCUAAGGUAGCGAAAUUCCUUGUCGGGUAAGUUCCGACCUGCACGAAUGGCAUAAUGAUGGCGGCGCUGUCUCCAGCAGAGGCUCAGUGAAAUCGAAAUCGCUGUGAAGAUGCAGUGUACCCGCGGCUAGACGGAAAGACCCCGUGAACCUUUACUGCAGCUUGACACUGAACUUUGACCUUACUUGUGUAGGAUAGGUGGGAGGCUUUGAAGCUGGAACGCUAGUUCCAGUGGAGCCGUCCUUGAAAUACCACCCUGGUAAUGUUGAGGUUCUAACUCUGUCCCGUGAUCCGGGACGAGGACCGUGUCUGGUGGGUAGUUUGACUGGGGCGGUCUCCUCCUAAAGAGUAACGGAGGAGUACGAAGGUGCGCUCAGCGUGGUCGGAAAUCACGCGUAGAGUAUAAAGGCAAAAGCGCGCUUAACUGCGAGACCCACAAGUCGAGCAGGUACGAAAGUAGGUCUUAGUGAUCCGGUGGUUCUGUAUGGAAGGGCCAUCGCUCAACGGAUAAAAGGUACUCUGGGGAUAACAGGCUGAUACCGCCCAAGAGUUCAUAUCGACGGCGGUGUUUGGCACCUCGAUGUCGGCUCAUCUCAUCCUGGGGCUGAAGCAGGUCCCAAGGGUAUGGCUGUUCGCCAUUUAAAGAGGUACGCGAGCUGGGUUUAGAACGUCGUGAGACAGUUCGGUCCCUAUCUACCGUGGGCGCUGGAAAUUUGAGAGGAUCUGCUCCUAGUACGAGAGGACCAGAGUGGACGAACCUCUGGUGUACCGGUUGUGACGCCAGUCGCAUCGCCGGGUAGCUAUGUUCGGAAGGGAUAACCGCUGAAAGCAUCUAAGCGGGAAGCCUACCUCAAGAUAAGAUUUCCCUAGGACUUUAUGUCCUCUAAAGAGCCGUUCGAGACUAGGACGUUGAUAGGUUGGAUGUGGAAGCAUAGUGAUAUGUGAAGCUGACCAAUACUAAUUGCUCGUGAGGCUUGACUAU